GACUUAACGUGGCUAUGUUUCAUUUCUUAAUUCAACUGCUCUCGGCUUACAUACCCUUUUUCUCCAAAAAUUUAACUUGUCUGCCAAAUCUUAGAUAUUUAAAUUGGUAUUGUCGAAAUUUGUGAAUAUGUCUAGGAACUAUGGACCUGGCCCUGGAGCGUACAUGCUACCCAGCAGUUUUGGGCAGAAAGGACCCCAGUUCUCUUUCGGCCGCAGAAUAGAUCGCAGUAGAAAUGAGAAACCUGGACCGGGUCCUGCUGCUUAUAAGGUGGAUAAGGUGACUCGCUAUGGAAACGCGGAGGGACCACAGUUCUCCAUGUACGUUAGGAACGCCAAGAUGAAGCCCCUUCCCAUUCGAUUCUCUUGAAGAUUCGAUUCUGAUUCGUAUUGAGUGAUCAAGUAAAAUCUAAUAAGCUGCUUCAAAUCUAUUCGAUGCUGUGAUAUACAUAGUGCUGGCUGUCCACUCGAUGCGCCCGCAUUGAAUUUCCAAUUUUCCUCAAUUAAUGCCCAAGACAUUGAUGCACAAAUUGCAUUCAAAUCGAUGCCAUGGCAACGGGCAUUGCUAAUCGCCCUUAACUCUGCAAUUAAUUCGAUGACACAUUCAUUUCGAAUGCAAAUCGAUGGCAAGGAUGGGAAAUCGGGAAAUGGUAAUAAUGACAGUCUGCGGUGGCUGCUGGCAUGAGAAUUGAUACACAAUGCGGCGACAACCACUUGUUGGACCUGUUGCAAGAGCCUUUGGCCAGGACACUUCACUUCACUUCAGGACGAGGGCUUAGAUGAGGGCACUUGAGCUGUUUGCCGGCUUUGUGGUGGACUAAAGGACUGGUGGACUGGUGGAACUGUAAUGAAGCCGCCGGCCGAGCUCUUAAGUAACUCACUUUGCAGUCCAGUCCAGGCCAGUCGUCCACUGAGUGACUGAACCGCGCCGAAGGAGCUGCUUCUGGCAUCUAAGCGAAAGCCUGUUAUUUUCCUCGCUGCCUGUAAUAAUCACACAGUAAACAGGCAGUGGUAGAAAGACUUGCCUGGGCUGGGGAUGUGCUGGUUACACUGAGAAAUAUUUCCGUUUGUUGGUUAUUAUAUACAUGUAAAAACAGCGUGAAAUAAAAAGUAGUAUCCGAGCUAAACGCA
rnacentral:misc_RNA from 1 species